AAACUCCCGGUCCCGCCGCCGCCAGGUGGCGCCGCCCGCCCGCGCUUAGCGCCGAGCCGCGGGCGGUGCGGGUGCGGUGCGGGUGCGGGGCUGGAAGCGGGUGCGGGUGCGGGUCCUGGCCCGGGAGCGGAGCCGGGAGCCGGGAUAGAAAUGCUUGGCUGAAGGGGGAGCCGCCGCUGAGCGGAGUCCGCCCGGGAAACCCAUCGGGGCGUCGUGGGCAGCCUUUGGGCUUGGCGCGCCCCAAACGAGGCGUCCACCUGAACGAUUCCUAUCGUCACUAUUAUCGGCGGUUAAAGUCUGUGAAUCCGAGCAGCUUCCAGCUCGCCUUGCUGCGCCGUGUCGCCGCAGCGGCUGCCAGUACGCGCUAACGCCUCGGUGGCGUGUUUGCACCGCGGCGUUUCAACUCGACGGGUUGAACUGCCCGGAACGGGGGGACGGAGCCGGCACGGCUCUUCCCAGCUGCCGGCGACGAGCUGCAGCUGGGAGACCGCCCCGGUAGGAGCCCCGCGCCCUGCCGCUGCUGCCCGCGGUGCCGGAGCGGGAGGUGCCGGAGCUCCGCUGCCGGCACCCGGAUCCCUGCCAGGGGCGAGCGAGUGUGCGUGUGUCCGUGUGUCAAUGUGUGUGUGUGUGCGUGUGUGGUGAGGGGAGGAGGGAGGAAGUGGGGUGGUGGUGCCGGCCGGGGUGGGGGGGGGGGGGGGGGAUUAUUGGCGAUGGGCGGGAGAGAAAAAAGGCGACUCCUGUUUCCUUUUCUUUCUGCCAGCGCGAUCUCGGCUCAUUUUCUCUAAGCAAUACAAGUUCACGGACGCGCUACCUAGCCAGCCCUCUUCUCCCGUCAUGGACCUCCCAGGCUGCGCGCCACCCGCCCUCUGAGGAGGCUCCUUCGCCCCGCGCGGAGGAAGAGGAGGAGGAGGAGGAGGAGGCGGAGGAGGAGGAUAAGGAUAAGGGAGGAAGGCGCGGCCCCAGCCGCCGCCGCCCAGCCGCCGUCCCGCAGAGCGCUGGCCGCGGGGCGCCGCGGCGGCAGCAGGCGCGCAGC
rnacentral:lncRNA from 1 species